rnacentral:rRNA from 1 species
CCUACGGGUGGCUGCAGUGGGGAAUAUUGCACAAUGGGGGAAACCCUGAUGCAGCGACGCCGCGUGAGGGAAGAAGGAUCUCGGUACGUAAAGUUCUAUCAUCAGGGAAGAAAAUGACGGUACCUGACUAAUAAGCACCGGCUAACUACGUGCCAGCAGCCGCGGUAAUACGUAGGGGGCAAGCGUUAUCCGGAUUUACUGGGUGUAAAGAGAGCGUAGGCGGCAGAACAAGUCAGGAGUGAAAUCCCAGGGCUUAACCCUGGAACUGCAUUGGAAACUGUUCGUCUAGAGUGCGGGAGGGGUAAGCGGAAUUCUUGGUGUAGCGGUGAAAUGCGUAGAUAUUAAGAGGAACACCGGUGGCGAAGGCGACCUGCUAGACUGUAACUGACGUUGAUGCUCGAAAGCGUGGGGAGCAAACAGGAUUAGAUACCCCAGUAGUC